AUUGAACGCUGGCGGCAGGCUUAACACAUGCAAGUCGAGCGGUAGAAAGUAGCUUGCUACUUUUGAGAGCGGCGGACGGGUGAGUAAUGCGUGGGAAUCUACCUGGUAGUGGGGGACAACAGUUGGAAACGACUGCUAAUACCGCAUACGCCCUACGGGGGAAAGCGGGGGAUCUUCGGACCUCGUGCUAUCAGAUGAGCCCGCGUGAGAUUAGCUAGUUGGUGGGGUAAAGGCCUACCAAGGCGACGAUCUCUAGCUGGUCUGAGAGGACGAUCAGCCACACUGGGACUGAGACACGGCCCAGACUCCUACGGGAGGCAGCAGUGGGGAAUAUUGGACAAUGGGCGCAAGCCUGAUCCAGCCAUGCCGCGUGUGUGAAGAAGGCCUUCGGGUUGUAAAGCACUUUCAGCGAGGAGGAAAGGUUGUAGCUUAAUACGCUGCAGCUGUGACGUUACUCGCAGAAGAAGCACCGCUAACU
rnacentral:rRNA from 1 species